AUCGCGAAGAACCUUACCAAAUCUUGACAUCCUUUGAAAACUCUAGAGAUAGAGCCUUCCCCUUCGGGGGACAAAGUGACAGGUGGUGCAUGGUUGUCGUCAGCUCGUGUCGUGAGAUGUUGGGUUAAGUCCCGCAACGAGCGCAACCCUUAAGCUUAGUUGCCAUCAUUAAGUUGGGCACUCUAGGUUGACUGCCGGUGACAAACCGGAGGAAGGUGGGGAUGACGUCAAAUCAUCAUGCCCCUUAUGAUUUGGGCUACACACGUGCUACAAUGGACAAUACAAAGGGCAGCUAAACCGCGAGGUCAUGCAAAUCCCAUAAAGUUGUUCUCAGUUCGGAUUGUAGUCUGCAACUCGACUACAUGAAGCUGGAAUCGCUAGUAAUCGUAGAUCAGCAUGCUACGGUGAAUACGUUCCCGGGUCUUGUACACACCGA
rnacentral:rRNA from 1 species